UCAAUAUGACAGUGACCUUUGAAAGCCCAAUUAUUGAGAGCCCUUUGCUUUUGUUUCAGAGGAUCCAGCGAUCUCCGAACCUGGGAAACUAGUGUUGUCUGAGACUCGAGGCACCUUGUGGGUGAUAGCUGUUUUUGUGCUCCUGAGUGUGCUGAUGGCUGCAGGCUGCACUGUUAGAUGGGGCCAAUUCAGAGCAAAGAACAACUUCUCCACCUUCAGCCUCGAGAAAGCUUCCAAAGAGCAGCUGGUGCCGGACAGGAGACCUUCAGACUCAUUUCCCUGAUGGGAAGCUGCAGUGCUGUGAGAUGGGACCCAACUCGGUGAUCCUCAUCACACUCCCUCCAAAUGCUGAUUGCACAGUUUCUGGGACAAGUUUUCUGGGGUUUGAUUGGGUGACAAUCACACUGGAGCAAUCAAGGACUCUUCCUUUGGCACAGGGAGCUUAGAUUGUGGGAUUAUAAUGGCAGUGGAAAAUCAGAAAUGACUGUCACUCAUGCUCUAAAAUCAACCCUACAAGAAUGUGAUGGAAACACUUGGAAUCUCAGAACGGGUCAUCCAUUUUCCCCCAUCCUAAAGACACACGCACACAAAAUGUGGGUUAUUCCACAAAAUGCUUCUCGCUGGAAUAGCUCUGGACAGUACAUAGUAUAGCCUCUGCAGUACAUUUGGCUGCUGUCCCUUCCAUGCCCACCAAGAGUCCAUUGAAAACUACCUCUUCCUACCAUGCUGUAUCUUGCCGGUAAGCAGAGCCAUUUGCUCCUGUUCCAGGGCAGGCCGUUCCAUUCCACACACCUAUGUGGGGCAGAGCUCAAAGUGACGUGGGUGUAUAAUUUAUAUCCCCGAGGAUACUGCUCAUAUUUCUAACACAUUAGCUCAAACUUCACAUACCAGAAGUUCUUAAAACAUCAUGUGACUGCAGGAGAACUGUCAAGGAGAUGGAUUACUGGAGAGUCUCCUGUAUGCUUCGCUUUUGCAUUGGGUCACAGCCCGUGCAGCAGCCCCUAGGCACAGCACAGGCAUUCAGGACCCGAGUGCAGUCAACUCCCAGUGCAGGCAAUGCAGGAGGUGCGCUAAGCUCCUUGCAGGAUUGGGCCUGUAGUUUCCACUUUGAAACUGAAAUCCCUGGACUUUGCAUCCUCUGUGCAGUUAGAAGAGUUUAUUAGCAGAUGUUUUAAGUUUUGACAAACAUCUGGAGCCAGCUUUGCUCUUCACUUUUACCUCUGAGUAGUCUUGUUAGCUGCAAUGUGUCUCCAUUUCAGAUCUUGGUCUGCCCAACGUUUUUUUGUGGACUGUUAUUAAAUGUGUAAAACACUAA